rnacentral:rRNA from 1 species
AGUUUGAUCCUGGCUCAGGAUGAACGCUAGCUACAGGCUUAACACAUGCAAGUCGAGGGGCAGCAUGGUCUUAGCUUGCUAAGGCCGAUGGCGACCGGCGCACGGGUGAGUAACACGUAUCCAACCUGCCGUCUACUCUUGGACAGCCUUCUGAAAGGAAGAUUAAUACAAGAUGGCAUCAUGAGUCCGCAUGUUCACAUGAUUAAAGGUAUUCCGGUAGACGAUGGGGAUGCGUUCCAUUAGAUAGUAGGCGGGGUAACGGCCCACCUAGUCUUCGAUGGAUAGGGGUUCUGAGAGGAAGGUCCCCCACAUUGGAACUGAGACACGGUCCAAACUCCUACGGGAGGCAGCAGUGAGGAAUAUUGGUCAAUGGGCGAGAGCCUGAACCAGCCAAGUAGCGUGAAGGAUGACUGCCCUAUGGGUUGUAAACUUCUUUUAUAAAGGAAUAAAGUCGGGUAUGCAUACUCGUUUGCAUGUACUUUAUGAAUAAGGAUCGGCUAACUCCGUGCCAGCAGCCGCGGUAAUACGGAGGAUCCGAGCGUUAUCCGGAUUUAUUGGGUUUAAAGGGAGCGUAGAUGGAUGUUUAAGUCAGUUGUGAAAGUUUGCGGCUCAACCGUAAAAUUGCAGUUGAUACUGGAUAUCUUGAGUGCAGUUGAGGCAGGCGGAAUUCGUGGUGUAGCGGUGAAAUGCUUAGAUAUCACGAAGAACUCCGAUUGCGAAGGCAGCCUGCUAAGCUGCAACUGACAUUGAGGCUCGAAAGUGUGGGUAUCAAACAGGAUUAGAUACCCUGGUAGUCCACACGGUAAACGAUGAAUACUCGCUGUUUGCGAUAUACAGCAAGCGGCCAAGCGAAAGCGUUAAGUAUUCCACCUGGGGAGUACGCCGGCAACGGUGAAACUCAAAGGAAUUGACGGGGGCCCGCACAAGCGGAGGAACAUGUGGUUUAAUUCGAUGAUACGCGAGGAACCUUACCCGGGCUUAAAUUGCAGAUGAAUUACGGUGAAAGCCGUAAGCCGCAAGGCAUCUGUGAAGGUGCUGCAUGGUUGUCGUCAGCUCGUGCCGUGAGGUGUCGGCUUAAGUGCCAUAACGAGCGCAACCCUUGUUGUCAGUUACUAACAGGUUCCGCUGAGGACUCUGACAAGACUGCCAUCGUAAGAUGUGAGGAAGGUGGGGAUGACGUCAAAUCAGCACGGCCCUUACGUCCGGGGCUACACACGUGUUACAAUGGGGGGUACAGAGGGCCGCUACCACGCGAGUGGAUGCCAAUCCCCAAAACCUCUCUCAGUUCGGACUGGAGUCUGCAACCCGACUCCACGAAGCUGGAUUCGCUAGUAAUCGCGCAUCAGCCACGGCGCGGUGAAUACGUUCCCGGGCCUUGUACACACCGCCCGUC